rnacentral:tRNA from 1 species
GGCAGGAUGGCCGAGUGGUUAUGGCGCCAGAUUCAGGUCCUGGUCUCCUUGGAGGCGUGGGUUCAACUCCCACUUCUGUCG